GUUUUGCCACUUCUGCCACGCUGUGCAUAUGGAUGUGAGAAAGGGAGUCUGAAAUGAGACAUGCCAUCCUUGUAAUAUGUGUUAGGCAAGCCAGACAAGACCUCACAGCAGCUGUC